GGAUGACAGCAAGACAAAGAACAGAAUUAUAGUACAGAAUGGAACCUACCUCUAGGUGGAGACAUGCUACUGUCUUCUCCCUUGAGAAUUAAGUCAAUGGAGGGCCUGGCUGAGAGGCUCCCCUAGAAAAGCUGUUCAACAUCUCCUGUAGUUAGUAAAGAACCUCCAUGAUGUUUCUGGGUUUGUAAGUCUUUCUGAGUACUGACUCAGGCAUAAUUACUCCUUUUUUUUCUAUUGCACAUUGGCAAAGCCUACGUACGCUUUUUAAAUGUCCUAAUCCUCUGGGCUUCCAUAGUCUCUAAAGCUAUCCUCCUGCCUCGCAGCUACCUGCUGCUGUGCCAGCCUAUCUUCCUUACUUUUGGCAGCUUCCACAGGUACAGCUUGCAUGCUUUGUUUGGAGAGAAGCUUUAAAAUAAAACAACACCACCUAAGAAAUUGCUGCUCCGCUUGUUUGGGCACUUGGUUAAUUUUUUCCAUGAACCUAGACUAAGGACCCCCAAAAGGGACUUCGAUUUCCCUGGUAUAUAUAAUGUCUCCACUGUCUCCACAGGAGUUACCCAAGAUUUCCUGUAGCACUUCUUUCCUGCCUUCUAAUUCUAUAAUUAGCACAGAAAACCAAUCCCUUCCUACAGUGUAGAUGGCAUCAGCAUGUCUGAGUUUUUAGCUUCAGUCUGUCUAUAUUGUUCCUGGUUGUGAAGUAAGAUAUGAAAGUGAUGACAAGAGCACAAAUUAAAACAAGGUAACCACCUCCAGUGCAGCUGGAAGGAAGAGAAAGAUGCCUACCUUCUGAAGGUGAUACAGGUCUGUCUUCUGCAGCCCCUUUGGCUGUGAUCCACAGGCAUCCUCUUCCUCUUUGCUAUCUGCUUUGAAUACAACAGAGAAUAGACACUGGAAGUAGAAUUUAUACUUUUUUAAAACAUGAGCAAGACAGGCAGAUGAUGCUCCUUCCAGAAGCUGAAGGCAAUACAUAUUACAUUGUUUAUAUAGUAGUGAGAUCUUCAAUCACUAGCUACUGAACUCAAGCGUUUCUAGCCAGCAGAACAAAAGCCUAUAUAAAAAUAUCAUACAGACUUGAAACUAUUUCCCUUUGAUUAGAAGCAUUCCGAUCCACCUGCGCUCAACCUUCCACUGUCCUGCUUUUGAUUCAUUACCGUUUAGCAUAAGGAAGGAGGUGUAUAAAAGCUAUAAAAGUAACUCUAGGAAGAGGUCCCCCUAACUGAUAUAAACGUAUGGCUAUGCUGCAGGAGGAUGUGGUACUCGCUCUGACUUGGGAACCUGACAAUGAUUUGGUUCAAAUAUGAUAUAAAAAUUAGCUAAAGAAUGUAUAUUCUUAAAGAACCAGAAGAUAACUCUUGAUUUUAGAAAGUUAUAACCUAAGGUUAGGAUAACUGCUAGCUAAAUUCUUUAUUUUAUUCCAUUCCAUUACCGUGUUUAAAACUGAUUAUAACACCCAGCCUGAUUUAACCCUCUCCAAUUUAAUUCUAAAUUAAAAUAAAUAUGCCAACAGUGUAAAGAAACCAUAGGUGGCAAAUAACCAAAUAUUUCUUCUUGUGAAAAUUUUAAGUAUACUUUGUUAUUAAUAACAAUUGGUUUUUUAAACCAAGAAAUAAAGACAAAUCAGCAGGAUGGUGUUGUUUUGAUUCAUAAAACACUAUUCUUUAUACUGUUGUCAAACAUUUUAAUCUUCAGCCUUACCAUUUGAAAAAUGAUAAUCACUUAAUGCUAAUUUAUCAUAGGAUUUGUUCGCUAGGUCACAUUACAUGAACUCUAAUUAAAAUUAUGGUAUCUACAGUCUCUUUAUGUCCUUAAGAGUUGCUUCUCAUUGGUGAGAGUGCAACUGUGAUCUGAUCUUACACACACACACAUACAAACACACUCACUCACUGAGCUGGAAGCCAAGAGAGAUUGGCUCUAGUCUGUGUGCUGUAUCAAUAGCUGUGAAGUAUAAAGCAGUUUACUUUUCUUCUCAGAGUUGAGUUUCUCGUAGCUGGAAUGAUCUCAACUUGUAGACUUUUAAGGUUUUUACUUCUGUGAAAUGGUUCAGGGUCACUGCUGUGGAGCUCCCUCUCACACAUAACUUGGAGGAAGCAAAUUGGCACUGCUUACCACCUUAAUCUGUAACUGAGCACCUGUCAGAGACCCCCUGCAGAGGAGCUACAGGGGUCUGAGGACACAUUUCCACACAGACAGCUUGCUAUAAGUAAAGGAGUUUAAAGACAAAGGAAUAUCUGCCACAGGAGGGAGUCAAACAAACAUUCCAAAGCAGGUAUUUCCAUGAUGCCAUGAGGCAAGCCUCUUUCCUCACCCCGUCACAGCACCCCAGAUAAGGCAAGAGUACAGAAUGGUCUAUCCAGAGAAUGAGAACUGCCUGCCACCCAUUCUCACCUGAAGAAUGAAAAUGAUGUUCUUCCAUUUGAUUUUCUACAUUGUUUAAAACAAAUCCAGAGGCGAAAUGCCUUUGCCUGUUUGCACUUGUUAAGAUGUUACCUUCAGAGACUGGUCUGCUGACUGACACCGAGGCGUUUUGAUGACACUCUGGUUAAAGGACUGGCAGGGCGGGAUAUUACACUUACCAUCGAGGUUCUGAAACUGGGUCAGGAAAUCCUUUAUUUUCUGUGUUGUGUUGCCAAGCUGCUUUUCAGUAGAGGAAUCUAAAACCUCAAUACAGCGCUGAAGUAUGCUCACCAGUUCAUCCUUUGCCAGCAUUCUAGACAGACAGGGACAGGCCAUGUAGCACAAGUAGAAAACUAGCGCACCUCAUCAAGUUACUUUUGGUAAUAGUGUUUCAUCCCAGCAAGAGGAACUUAACUAAGACAGGACUUAUGUCAACAGCCGGAGCCAGUGAAAGGAGCCAGGGAAAUGGCGGCACUUUAUAACCUGAGUUUGAUCCCUGCAAACUCACAUAGUAGAAGGAGAAAACUACCCAGAGAGUCGUCCUCUGACUUCCACAUACAUGCCCCCGCCCCUAGGUGCCAACAAGAAAUUAAGCACCAAAUUCAGACCUAGAAUUCCACAUUGAGAGUCGAAUCCAUGACAACUUCAAUGUAUGAGUUUGUUUUGCAGUAAGCUCCUAACAACGCACUUAGGACAUGUAGACUGAACAGUGUUUCGUUUUUCUGUCUGUACUAUGUGCUGAGAUGGUCGUGGUGAGUGAGGUGUUGGAGGCCACAGAAGCUAUUACUCCUGGCUCAUUUUGAAACCGUUUAGAACCUCUGAGCGUGGAAGACAUACCUAAAUGAGAUACAUUUCUGUUUGGAAUGCAAAAGAAAAUAUGCUAGAUUUUGAAGAUUUACAUUUACGCUCCUGUUCUGCCAACUAGGAAAGGCUGUUUUUCAGACUUUAUACAAACAGCAGAAACUGUCUCUGAUGUUUUGUACAUGCCUUAUGAGUCUACAGGAGGGAGACAUUUGCUGCGAAGCUGCAAGCUUCUCCAUCACGUGUCUUUGGUGGUGGCCCCAGUGUACCAGUCCUUGUUAGAACUGCUAUGUCUGAUCCUCAGCGCUGUUGAGCUCAGCUUAAUAAAAACAUGGAAAC
rnacentral:lncRNA from 1 species